GGUAGGAAGAGCGAUACUGGAGGGAGUUUGCAAAGGUCAAACUAGGAGUAGAUACCCCACUAAGCUUAGCCCUAAACCUCAACAGUUAAAUCAACAAAACUGCUCGCCGGAUCACUACGAGCCACAGCAAACUAGGAUUAGAUACCCUAUUAGAAUUAAUAAACAUUUAGUAGUAAGUGAAAAACAUGAAACUAAAAUUAAUUGGCGGUUUCUUAAAUAUUUUAGAGGAAUUUAUCCUUUAAAGGAUUCUACACCUAAAUCUUACUUUAAUUAGUAUAAAUUUAACAAUUUGUAUACCCCUAUUUAGUUAUAAUUAAAUAAAUAAUUAUAAUUUCUUUAAAAAUAAUUUUAGGCCACGGUGCAGUUUAUAUUAAAGAUUGAGAUAAAUUAUAUGAAUUUAAAUUUAACAAAAAUAAAUUUUGUAAAAUUUUACUUAAGUAAAAUUUAAUAGUAAACUUAGUUUAUUCAAACUAAAUUGAAUAUAUUUUUUAAGAUAUGUACAAAUUGCCCGUCACUCUCUUUUAGAGAUAAGUCGUAACAUAGUAA
rnacentral:rRNA from 1 species